GACGAACGCUGGCGGCGUGCUUAACACAUGCAAGUCGAACGGAAAGGCCCUGCUUUUGUGGGGUGCUCGAGUGGCGAACGGGUGAGUAACACGUGAGUAACCUGCCCUUGACUUUGGGAUAACUUCAGGAAACUGGGGCUAAUACCGGAUAGGAGCUCCUGCUGCAUGGUGGGGGUUGGAAAGUUUCGGCGGUUGGGGAUGGACUCGCGGCUUAUCAGCUUGUUGGUGGGGUAGUGGCUUACCAAGGCUUUGACGGGUAGCCGGCCUGAGAGGGUGACCGGCCACAUUGGGACUGAGAUACGGCCCAGACUCCUACGGGAGGCAGCAGUGGGGAAUAUUGCACAAUCGGCGGAAGCCUGAUGCAGCAACGCCGCGUGCGGGAUGACGGCCUUCGGGUUGUAAACCGCUUUCGCCUGUGACGAAGCGUGGGUGACGGUAAUGGGUAAAGAAGCACCGGCUAACUACGUG
rnacentral:rRNA from 1 species